AGGACUUAGCACACAUGUGAACA
rnacentral:miRNA from 1 species